rnacentral:rRNA from 1 species
GUGGGGAAUAUUGCGCUAAUGCGCGAAAGCGUGACGCAGCGACGCCGCGUGGGGGAUGAAGGCCCUCGGGUCGUAAACCCCUUUCGCCAGGGACGAAGGGAAACUGACGGUACCUGGAGAAGAAGUCCCGGCUAACUACGUGCCAGCAGCCGCGGUAACACGUAGGGGACGAGCGUUGUCCGGAAUUAUUGGGCGUAAAGCGCGCGUAGGCGGUCGUGCAAGUCGGAUGUGAAAAUCCCGGGCUCAACCCGGGACCUGCACCCGAUACUGCUCGACUCGAGGUAGGUAGGGGAGAUCGGAAUUCCUGGUGUAGCGGUGAAAUGCGCAGAUAUCAGGAGGAACACCGGUGGCGAAGGCGGAUCUCUGGGCCUUACCUGACGCUGAGGCGCGAAAGCUAGGGGAGCGAACAGGAUUAGAAACCCCAGUAGUCC